UGAGGAAUAUUGGUCAAUGGGCGGGAGCCUGAACCAGCCAAGUCGCGUGAAGGAAGAAGGAUCUAUGGUUCGUAAACUUCUUUUGCAGGGGAAUAAAGUGCAGGACGUGUCCUGUUUUGUAUGUACCCUGAGAAUAAGGAUCGGCUAACUCCGUGCCAGCAGCCGCGGUAAUACGGAGGAUCCGAGCGUUAUCCGGAUUUAUUGGGUUUAAAGGGUGCGUAGGUGGUUUGAUAAGUCAGCGGUGAAAGUUUGCAGCUUAACUGUAAAAAUGCCGUUGAAACUGUCGGACUUGAGUGUAAAUGAGGUAGGCGGAAUGCGUGGUGUAGCGGUGAAAUGCAUAGAUAUCACGCAGAACUCCGAUUGCGAAGGCAGCUUACUAAGCUACAACUGACACUGAGGCACGAAAGCGUGGGGAUCAAACA
rnacentral:rRNA from 1 species